CUCUAUGAAGAUUUUGUUUACAAAUCGAAAUCAAUCAAUGUCUAAAGUCUUUGAAUUGUGGGUGAACAUGAUUCGAAAGAAGAAGAACGAGAGGCUUCUAAUGUUCAAAGAAUGUAUGCAAGGAUCUAAUCUUGUGAUAGAAUGGUUAUUGCUUUGAUUUCACUUGAAGAGACUUUAGUUUAUAAUUUGUUUGGUUUGGCUUUCUGGAGUAAUAUUACCAUUUUGGAAAUGUAGUAUCUUGUUUUGGUUGCGUAUUGUUUUGGGGGCAUUUAAGAAUUACUUGACCUUGAUUGUUUGAUGGAGUUGUUAAGAAGGAAGAGAAAGGGCCUAGAAGUUUUGCCAUUAUGUGGCAAAUCCUUGACUUCAUCUGCUAUUAUUUGGUCUCACUUGUCACUGGGAGAUUAUUCAAGGCAGAAGAAGAAGUGCAAGGAAGAUGAAGAUAAGGAAGUUGGUUCCCCUAGGAGUGUAGUUAAAGGAAUUGUCACUGCCCCCCAUUUUAGGAGUUCCUCUUUAGAUCCACCUUGUAGGGGUCUUAAGAGGAAAAUUGGUUGUAUUGAUGUAGCAACACAAUUGGGUCGGAAGAAAAAGAUCGAGCAACAAUAUGAUUUGGGUGCAACAAUUGGGAAAGGUAAGUUUGGAUCUGUAGUGUUGUGUAGAAGUAAAGUGACUGGAGAAGAAUUUGCAUGCAAAAUGUUGCGCAAGGGUGAGGAUCUUGUGCAUCGAGAGGUGGAGAUAAUGCAGCACCUUUCUGGUCAUCCAGGCAUUGUAACAUUGAAGGCUGUGUAUGAGGAUUCAGAAUCUUUCUAUCUUGUGAUGGAGCUUUGUUCUGGGGGGCGAUUGCUUGACCAGAUGGCUAGGGAAGGGCAAUAUUCAGAGCAUCACGCUGCUAAUGUACUGAGGGAGUUGAUUUCAGUUAUCAAAUAUUGCCAUGAUAUGGGUGUUGUUCAUCGGGACAUAAAGCCUGAAAAUAUCCUUGUUACGACUUCUGGGCAAAUGAAGCUUGCAGAUUUUGGGCUAGCUAUGAGGAUUUCAAAUGGUCAGAGCCUUACAGGUGUAGUUGGAAGUCCUGCCUAUGUUGCCCCAGAAGUUCUACUUGGCAACUAUUCAGAAAAGGCUGAUAUUUGGAGUGCUGGUGUCCUCCUUCAUGCUCUGUUGGUUGGCAUUCUUCCAUUUCAAGGUGACUCUUUGGAUGCAGUAUUUGAGGCAAUUAAGAAGGUUAACCUAGAUUUUGAGAGUGGGUUAUGGGAGUCAGUAUCCCAACCUGCAAGGGAUCUCGUUGCCAGAAUGCUCAAUAGGGAUGUUUCAUCAAGACUAACUGCUGAUGAAUUACUAAUUAAAUCAGUUGCUAAAAAGUCCAUGUUGAAGGGCAUCCGUGGAUCUUGUUCCAUACAGAACCAACUUUGAAGUUACGUACAGUAAAACCGAAGUUAGGAAACCAUGUAAGAUUGACUUUCCAAAGACUAACUGGCAAAGAUGGGUUGGAGUCUGAGAGAAUCGAUAUAACAACCAGCAGCUUUCUCAGUGAUGACACUAGCCUAAUUUUAUCAUCUGGUGGUUCAAUAAAGAGGUUGGACGAGCAAGACUGUGGAUUCGUUGAUGUCCUUGCUGUGGCAAUGUCUCGUGUAAGGAUAUCCGAACCAAAGAGAAGCAGGUUGUGUGGUCCUACCAGCCCUAUUCGACGAGAAUGUUCCUCUAACAUUAAGGUUGACAAUCUCUGCACAGCAUUCUGAUCCUGCUUUUGAAAUGCUGACUCAACUGUUAGGUAUUACCCCUAUUAGCUAUAGCUGGAACUAAAGAUAACCUACUGUGGCAAGAGACUUGUGAAGACUAAGUGCAGUACCAAUAAAAUGACCUUGUGGGUAAAAUGAAGUGUUAACUCUUAAAGCAUGUUUCUUCUUGAGUGAUAACCUUGUAAUUUUUAAUUAGUGUGUGUUUGGAUAUAUUUUCACUGUUUAGCCUGACUUGGCAUGUUGUGAAAACAUGGAUUGUAAUAAGUCUUCACAAGUCUCUUGCCACAGUAG
rnacentral:misc_RNA from 1 species